AUUGAACGCUGGCGGCAGGCCUAACACAUGCAAGUCGAACGGUAACAGGAAGAAGAUUGCUUCUUUGCUGACGAGUGGCGGACGGGUGAGUAAUGUCUGGGAAACUGCCUGAUGGAGGGGGAUAACUACUGGAAACGGUAGCUAAUACCGCAUAACGUCGCAAGACCAAAGAGGGGGACCUUCGGGCCUCUUGCCAUCGGAUGUGCCCAGAUGGGAUUAGCAUGUAGGUGGGGUAACGGCUCACCUAGGCGACGAUCCCUAGCUGGUCUGAGAGGAUGACCAGCUACACUAGAACUGCGACACGGUCGCGACUCCUACGGGAGGCAGCAGUGGGGAAUAUUGCACAAUGGGAGGCAGCCUGAUGCAGCCAUGCCGCGUGUAUGAAGAAGGCCUUCGGUUUGUAAAGUACUUUCAGCGGGGAGGAAGGGAGUAAAGUUAAUACCUUUCCUCAUUGACGUUACCCGCAGAAGAAGCACGGGCUAACUCCGUG
rnacentral:rRNA from 1 species